UACAGAGACUGCAAGCGUUAUUCGGAUUCACUGGGCCUAAAGGGUGCGCAGGCGGCCGUGUGUGUCAGGUGUGAAAGCCCGGGGCUUAACCCCGGAAUUGCGCCUGAAACUACAUGGCUAGAGCAUUGGAGAGGGUAGCGGAAUUCACGGUGUAGCAGUGAAAUGCGCAGAUAUCGUGAGGAACACCGAUGGCGAAGGCAAUCCCCUGGGCCUGCACUGACGCUCAUGCACGAAAGCGUGGGGAGCAAACAGG
rnacentral:rRNA from 1 species